rnacentral:rRNA from 1 species
AACGAACGCUGGCGGCAUGCCUAACACAUGCAAGUCGAACGAGACCUUCGGGUCUAGUGGCGCACGGGUGCGUAACGCGUGGGAACCUGCCCUUAGGUUCGGAAUAACUCCCCGAAAGGGGUGCUAAUACCGGAUAAUGUCUUCGGACCAAAGAUUUAUCGCCUUUGGAUGGUCCCGCGUUGGAUUAGCUAGUUGGUAGGGUAAAAGCCUACCACGGCGACGAUCCAUAGCUGGUCUGAGAGGAUGAUCAGCCACACUGGGACUGAGACACGGCCCAGACUCCUACGGGAGGCAGCAGUGGGGAAUAGUGGACAAUGGGCGAAAGCCUGAUCCAGCAAUGCCGCGUGAGUGAUGAAGGCCUUAGGGUUGUAAAGCUCUUUUACCCGGGAUGAUAAUGACAGUACCGGGAGAAUAAGCUCCGGCUAACUCCGUG